UACAGAGGUCUCAAGCGUUGUUCGGAUUCAUUGGGCGUAAAGGGUGUGUAGGUGGCGCCGUAAGUCGGGUGUGAAAUUUCGGAGCUUAACUCCGAAACUGCAUUCGAUACUGCGGUGCUUGAGGACUGGAGAGGAGACUGGAAUUCAUGGUGUAGCAGUGAAAUGCGUAGAGAUCAUGAGGAAGACCAGUGGCGAAGGCGGGUCUCUGGACAGUAACUGACGCUGAGGAGCGAAAGCGUGGGGAGCGAACAGG
rnacentral:rRNA from 1 species